UCGUGCAACAGAGGCGCGAGGGCUGUCGCCGACUCUCGUCGUGCACGCCCGAGCGCUCUCACGCAUAUCCCACCUCACCCCUUUGUGCAUCACCGCGUGGGUCGUCCUCACCCUUUCGGGGGAAAGGGAGGCUCGCGUUUUUUUAUACCAAACCCCCUAUCGAACGACGUUUUAGAAUGUUUUUAUGCGAUCAAUA
rnacentral:misc_RNA from 1 species